UCCCUGCUGCGCCGUCGCCGCCUCCCGACCCGGUCUGCGGAGCAGGCGCCCCGGUGGC
rnacentral:miRNA from 1 species